AGGACGAACGCUGGCGGCGCGCUUAAUACAUGCAAGUCGAGCGAGAACCGGACCUUCGGGUCCGGGGAAAGCGGCGAACGGGUGAGUAACACGUGGGUAAUCUGCCCUCGGUACUGGGAUAGCCCGGGGAAACCCGGAUUAAUACCGGAUAGCCUUUCGAGCUCUCGGGCUCGUUAGAAAAUGGUGGCUUCGGCUUCGACUGAGGAUGAGCCCGCGGCGGAUUAGCUUGUUGGUGAGGUAAUGGCUCACCGAAGGCCCCGAUCCGUAGCUGGUCUGAGAGGACGAUCAGCCACACGUGGGACUGAGACACCGGCCCAGACCUCCGUACGGGACGGCAGCGAGGUAGGGAAUCGUUAGCGCGAAGUGGGACGAAAGCC
rnacentral:rRNA from 1 species